rnacentral:rRNA from 1 species
CAGUAGCCACGGUAAUACGGAGGGGGCUAGCGUUGUUCGGAAUUACUGGGCGUAAAGCGCACGUAGGCGGCUUUGUAAGUUAGAGGUGAAAGCCUGGUGCUCAACACCAGAACAGCCUUUAAGACUGCAUCGCUUGAACGUCGGAGAGGUGAGUGGAAUUCCGAGUGUAGAGGUGAAAUUCGUAGAUAUUCGGAAGAACACCAGUGGCGAAGGCGGCUCACUGGACUGGUAUUGACGCUGAGGUGCGAAAGCGUGGGGAGCAAACAGGAUUAGAUACCCGCGUAGUCCCUGUCUCUUAUAC